UACGUAGGGGGCAAGCGUUGUCCGGAAUCAUUGGGCGUAAAGAGCGUGUAGGUGGCUCGGUAAGUCCGCUGUAAAAGUCCAGGGCUCAACCCUGGAAAGCCGGUGGAAACUGUCGAGCUAGAGUCCGGAAGAGGCGAGUGGAAUUCCUGGUGUAGCGGUGAAAUGCGCAGAUAUCAGGAGGAACACCAAUGGCGAAGGCAGCUCGCUGGGACGGUACUGACGCUCAUGCACGAAAGCGUGGGGAGCAAACAGG
rnacentral:rRNA from 1 species